rnacentral:lncRNA from 1 species
UGCUUCUGGUGCUGAUACUUCUGGUGGCGCUGAUGAUGAUGAUGGUGAUGAUGAGGAUGGUUCCGGUUCUGAGGCCGGUAGUGAAGAGAGUUCGGAGUCCUAUGAGGACUAAGUUUUUUUUUUUAUGUUAUGUUUUAUUUUAUUUUAUUUUCAGUAUUUUGGUUUUGGUUAUGUACUUUUGGGGUGUUUUGUCCCCCACGCACAUUUUCAACAUUUUGAAGUAAUGGUUAUUAUUUUAUGUUUUAAAUUAUUGUGUUUAGUUUGAAUUUC